GUGAAUUAUAGUAUCUGUUACAAUGAAAUGAAUAAACCCACUCUUCGUCUCUUGCCAUCUAUCUAUCUUCUAACUCUGGAAUCCCCCUUUCUUAUUAACCUGAGCAUCAUAAUUUUUCAGGCAAAAACUUUUGACUUGAUUUGCAUUAUUUCUAAACUUUGAAACCUUUCAUACAAUAGAUUUGGUCGAAAUUCCGAAUUUAAAGAACCCUAUAUGGUAAAUUUAAACGCAGCGUUUUCGAUCAUGACAAUAUCUUACUUUUCCUACAUCCGAGGUAAGAAAUAAAAGGUUAAAUUUUCGUGUGUUUUUUUCAUCCACGGCAGAAUUAGUGAUUAGAGUUAGUGAAUGAACCAGGACCCUUGUAAAUAUAACCUACAUUAAAGCUUACUCAUGCAUUAAAAUUAUAUACAUAUAUUUUUUUAUUAAAAUCCAGCAAAAAGAAAAUCUGGAAGUCAUGAAGUGAAAAAUAAUUCUUCUUCAUCCUGGGCUGUAUCACUUCACAUUUACCUAAAACCUACAGCUAGGAAUAAUGUUCCCGGUAAAGAGGAAACUGUACAGUUGGAGUAUGCAUCUAUAAACGGCAAACCGAAUGACACAAAAUGUUUACGACUCAGCGAAAACAGAGAAUUUAAGACUGAAUAUGCCAGG
rnacentral:sRNA from 1 species